rnacentral:rRNA from 1 species
UGGGGAAUUUUGGACAAUGGGCGAAAGCCUGAUCCAGCAAUGCCGCGUGUGUGAAGAAGGCCUUCGGGUUGUAAAGCACUUUUGUCCGGAAAGAAAUCCUUGGCUCUAAUACAGUCGGGGGAUGACGGUACCGGAAGAAUAAGCACCGGCUAACUACGUGCCAGCAGCCGCGGUAAUACGUAGGGUGCAAGCGUUAAUCGGAAUUACUGGGCGUAAAGCGUGCGCAGGCGGUUUGCUAAGACCGAUGUGAAAUCCCCGGGCUCAAACCUGGGGAACUGCAUUGGUGACUGGCAGGCUAGAGUAUGGCAGAGGGGGGUAGAAUUCCACGUGUAGCAGUGAAAGUGCGUAGAGAUGGUGGAGGAAUACCGAUGGCGAAGGCAG